rnacentral:rRNA from 1 species
UACGGAGGGGGCUAGCGUUGUUCGGAAUUACUGGGCGUAAAGCGCACGUAGGCGGCUUUGUAAGUUAGAGGUGAAAGCCCGGGGCUCAACUCCGGAAUUGCCUUUAAGACUGCAUCGCUGGAAUUGUGGAGAGGUAAGUGGAAUUCCGAGUGUAGAGGUGAAAUUCGUAGAUAUUCGGAAGAACACCAGUGGCGAAGGCGACUUACUGGACACAUAUUGACGCUGAGGUGCGAAAGCGUGGGGAGCAAACAGG